rnacentral:lncRNA from 1 species
CAGAGGAGGAAACAAAUCAUUGAGAAGUAUAGUAGCAUGGAUGAAAUUUUAAGGGAGUGCAAUAACAUGGCUGGUCAUCUUGAUGUAUGGAAGCUACUAGAUGAUGCCCAUGAUUUGGUGGUCACUCUCCAUGACAAGAUAUAGACACCUUUGUUAUAGUGCCUUUGUUAUGAUGCCCAUUAUUUGGUGGUCACUCUCCAUGACAAGAUAUAGACACCUUUGUUAUAGUGCCUUCCAAGAUUUUAUACCACUAAUUUAUUCUCUUUGCAAUCGUCACAUUUUUGUGGCGAGAAAGGACUGUAUCUGACAAGUCACAACACUGCUGUUGCUACUUUUUUGGGUCAGAGAUCGUACGUUCUGAAGUUGGGAAAAAUCUAUAAUCAACUCUUCCGUGUACUAGCACUGCUAUUUGCUCGGUUUCAGUGUAGCCAUUAUUAGAAAGCCUAUGUUCCAGACUGGCUACCAUGCGCAAUAUAUAUCUUUUAAGUUCCCAUGUUUGACGCUUAUAGUUAUAGGGUCUUUCUAAUAGGAAAACCAAAGUGGAGAUGUGCCCAUUCCCCAACUUCCUUGGGGUCAAGGAGUGCGGGGUGUGGGGUGGGAGUGGAUGUGAAUUGGUUGGUUUUGACUUUUGAGACGC